GCCUGUCUAGCUCAGUUGGUAGAGUGCAAGGCUCUUAAGCUUGUGGUUGUGGGUUCAAGCCCCACAGUGGGUA
rnacentral:tRNA from 1 species